UACGAAGGGGGCUAGCGUUGCUCGGAAUCACUGGGCGUAAAGAGCGUGUAGGCGGCUUGUUAAGUCUUGCGUGAAAUCUCGGGGCUCAACCCCGAGCGGUCGUGAGAAACUGGCAGGCUAGAGUGCGGGAGAGGAGAGUGGAAUUCCUGGUGUAGCGGUGAAAUGCGCAGAUAUCAGGAAGAACACCCGUGGCGAAGGCGGCUCUCUGGAACGCAACUGACGCUGAGACGCGAAAGCGUGGGGAGCAAACAGG
rnacentral:rRNA from 1 species